CCUACGGGAGGCUGCAGUGAGGAAUAUUGGUCAAUGGACGAGAGUCUGAACCAGCCAAGUAGCGUGAAGGAUGACUGCCCUAUGGGUUGUAAACUUCUUUUAUAUGGGAAUAAAAUGUUCCACGUGUGGGAUUUUGUAUGUACCAUAUGAAUAAGGAUCGGCUAACUCCGUGCCAGCAGCCGCGGUAAUACGGAGGAUCCGAGCGUUAUCCGGAUUUAUUGGGUUUAAAGGGAGCGUAGGUGGAUUGUUAAGUCAGUUGUGAAAGUUUGCGGCUCAACCGUAAAAUUGCAGUUGAAACUGGCAGUCUUGAGUACAGUAGAGGUGGGCGGAAUUCGAGGUGUAGCGGUGAAAUGCUUAGAUAUCACGAAGAACUCCGAUUGCGAAGGCAGUUCACUGGACUGCAACUGACACUGAGGCUCGAAAGUGUGGGUAUCAAACAGGAUUAGAUACCCGAGUAGUC
rnacentral:rRNA from 1 species